CUCGACCUGAACUCAGACGUGAUU
rnacentral:rRNA from 1 species